GGGGAGAUAUUUUAUACCCAACACCAGUCCCCCUACUUCCGAGUUCGAGUUUCGAAUGAAGAAAGUACAAAAAAAUUUUCACAGCCGAAGUUGUCCCCUUGAAUUCUGUGCACGAUCGUCCUCAGAUAUUCUGGCAUUUAAUGCGCGUGUGCUGGAGUCUUUUCAAAUCGAGACGAUCCAAAGGGACCUUUCAAAAUUCUCGCUGGAGCGUUGGCCC
rnacentral:lncRNA from 1 species